rnacentral:sRNA from 1 species
AUGGUUUUAAAGCCAAUGAAUGUCAACACGUUAUUGUUUUGCCGUUGUAAUAUCUCCAUUCCAAUUAUUGAAUACACGGUUUCUACAACCUUAAAGGUCAAUAGCCAUGAUCAGAAAGUGUAGUACUAGUACAUCAUCUCUUAAUUAUUUAUAAAUGUAAGGAAGAGCUUAGCCCAUGAUAUAUGAAACCAUGCCCUUCUGGAACUGCGAAUUACUACAUGCACUUAGCGUGCAUGCAUGACUUAUUAAUAUUUCCAUAAUUCAUAUUCAAUCUUCUUCUUCUUCAUUGUCCGUGCCGCCACGACCAUGCGUGUUGCCAACGUUGAAAAUUCCGUUGUGGUCUCCUUUGUUUCCACUGACUCGGUUCCCAGAAACUUUGUACGAUGUACCACUAGAACCACUUUUCCCAUUUUUACCAUUCUUGGCCUUGGGACGUCGAGCAGGCUGCAGUGUUGAAUACUCUUGGUUAGAGUAUCCAUAAUUAGAUCGAGAUUGAGGCUGAGGCUGAGGUUGAGGUUGAGGUUGAGGUUGAGGAGCGUAGUAGUUAGUAUAUUCAU